UACGUUCCGGCAGUACCGCGGGGGACAUAGCCCCUCUCAGCUAUAGUUACUGCCUGCCUACUCAGCCCUAGCCACUUACUAGUACAUACCACGCUUCACAAAUAACAUACCUCCUACUUCUACGCCCAAUACCAUCUUCACUACUAUCAAUCCUUCUGCUUGCCAUAUUACUUUCUCACCUUUAAAGCCAACUUGCCCUUCUCACUACCACCACCCUUCCUGCUUACCCAUUUGCCUUCUUAUCUACAUUGCCCGUUUAUCUCUUUGCCCCCUCGAGCAUGUGCGAAAUAAAACCGCGGAAAAAAACAUUGGCACAAAAAAGGACCCGGCAGCGUGAACGGGUUGAACCUGGAUAUAUAGCAAACACCACCAAACCAGUAUUCAGUAGCUAGAUGUGGCAGGGCCCCGAGCGAUGGUGAUGCUUGUGAGGCCAGUAGGGCUGAGAGGGUGAAUUUGAAUUAUAUGGGCCUGGAUGUGGUGAUGUGGGGCGUAUGUAGGCACCUGGGUGCGACCUCGCGCAGCGCAGAUUUGAGCUGUGGAAGGUGAUGAGACGCAUGAGUAAUACUAAAUGUAAGCGUGUGAAUCGCUGCGUGCGCAAAUGCACGCACACUGCAAGCAGCAGCAACUAAAAACGACCAGCGGGAUUUUGAAUUUUCUUCUAAAUAAAUCCGAUGAAUUUAUUUCCGGUCUUUCCGGGAACUAGUCCUCCUUCCAAUGGCACGAUUUAAUCAGGUCACUGAGGGUUAGGAGCGCUGAGGGUUAAGACGGUUAGGGUUAGG